UAAUAUGGAUUUCCUGAAUUGGUUAAUGUACUUUUUUUUCUCCUUGAUAUUGUUUCAAGCUUUCCAUUUGAUCACAAGAAGGAAAUUGGGAAGAUCCCAUAAGCUUCCGCCCGGUCCACCAACAAUUCCGAUCUUCGAGAACCUUUUCCAGGUUGGUGAUAAACCCCAUAGGUCCCUUGCCAAACUUGCCAAGAUUCAUGGGGACAUCAUGACUCUGAAACUUGGCCAGACUACUACCGUAGUUUUUUCAUCUGCAACAAUGGCCAAAGAAAUCUUCCAAAAGCAUGAUGCCGUAUCUUGUAACCGAACCAUUCCCGAUGCCCUUCGUGCCCUUCAACAUCACGAAGCCGGAUUGCCUUGGAUGCCUGUUUCAACCACAUGGAGAAAUCUUAGGAAAAUCUGCAAUUUGCAUAUUUUCGCUACUCAUAAACUUGACGCUAAUCAAUACUUGAGGCGCAGCAAAGUAGAACAACUCCUUGCUGGUGUUCGCGAAAGUUCCCUCAUCGGAGAAGCGAUUGAGAUACGUUAAGCUGCUUUCAAAACUACGCUUAGUCUCAUAUCAAAUACUAUUUUCUCCAUUGAUUUAGCCGACUCUACUCAUACUUCUGAGGAGUUGUUAAGUUUAGUUCCCAUGCAAAGGUGGCCAUGCACGACAUACAAAGGUGGUCAUGCUCCUGGAAUCGCAGCAAGCAGUGGUGCCAUGGUGUGCAGCAAUUAAAGUUUGAAGCUGCCAAUCUAUUUGCUAUUUUAGUUUCAUUUUGAUUGUUUUGUAAUCUAGUUCAUGUUGAACUAAGUAGGUAAAUGUUUUGAUAUUGAUUGACUGAAAAGUCAGCAAUGCAAGUUGUACAAGCUAAUCUUGUAAGUUUCAAUGCAAAUUAGUGGAGUUAGGUAGUUGAUUAGGUGAUUACUUGUUUGUUUUACUUAUUGACUAAUAUAUGUAAUGGCUUAAUGCCUUGUUGUAAUGUUAAUGAAAGAUAUCAGCUCUUUUUCAUUCAAUCUUCUUCUCUCUUUUCUGUUUUUUCACUUGCUAGUUUCAUCUUUCUGUUUUCUGCUUCCGAGCUUGCUUCUUCACCAAGGCUCGAGACUUACUACUCAAGCAAGACUUGAAACAGUUUGUUGCUGCCUCUUGCACCAACAAUUGGUAUCGAGAGCUCUUGUCUUAGUGGACCUGUUGCUUCAAAACAAGGAACUUGAUGGCUUCUUCAGGAUUUUCACCAGCAGCCCCACCAGUCUUCAAUGGAGAAGGCUUUCACAUAUGGCUGGUCAAGAUGAAGACUUACCUACAGGCCUUCGAUCUGUGGGAAGUUGUCAACACAGAUACUGAGCCAGCACCACUGAGGGCUAAUCCCACAGUAGCUCAGAUGAGGCAACAUGCUGAUGAGAGGACCAAAAGGCACAAAGCCAUGUCCUGCAUCCAGAACUGUGUGUCAGAUGUCAUCUUCACCAGAAUCAUGGCCUGUGAGACUCCAAAACAGGCCUGGGAUAAGCUUAAGGAGGAGUUUCAAGGCACUGAGAGAACAAGGCAACAGCAGCUGUUAAACUUGAGAAGGGAUUUCGAGAAUUUGAAGAUGAAGGAAGAAGAAACAGUGAAGCAGUACUCAGAUAGAAUUAUGGCAGUGGUUAACAGUAUAAGGCUCCUAGGUGAGCACUUUGAUGAGGCAAGAAUUGUGGAGAAAGUUCUCUCCACUUUGCCUGAGAGAUAUGAGGCCAAGAUAUCCUCCCUAGAGGACUCAAGAGACCUUGCUAGCAUCUCUUUGACUGAGUUAAUCAACACCUUCUAUGCUCAGGAACAAAGGAGAGCUAGCAGAGCUGAAGAUCACCAAGAAGGUGCAUUUCAAGCCAAGGCCAGAGAAACCUCGAGCAUUAAUGCUCAAAGAGGCAAAAAGCCUUGGAAAAACAGGCCUAAGCCUGAUGUUGCAAGAAGCAAUGACCAACCCUGCAGAUAUUGCAAGAAGCCUGGCCAUCCAGAAGACAGAUGCUGGUUUAGGCCAGAUGCAGUAUGUCAACACUGCAAGAAGAAGGGCCAUGUUGAAAGGGUCUGCAAAAACAGAAGUAAGCCAAGGCAGAAUCAAUUUCAGCAGUCAAAGGUUGAAGCUCGAGUAGCUGAGGACAGUAGUGACCAAGAAGAACAGGUCUUUGCUGUUUCCUGUGUAGCUUCUGAGAAGAAAUGCUCCAAAGGCUGGUUGCUGGACAGUGGUUGCACUAACCACAUGUCACCAGAUGCCUCCUUGUUUAAAACCUUGGACAGAAGUUAUAAAACCAAGGUCAAGGUUGGAAAUGGUCAGUUUAUAAGGGCUGAAGGAAGAGGAGAAGUGCUGAUAUGUACUCCCACAGGCAACAAGAUCAUUCCAAAUGUGCUGUUGGUACCACAAAUUGACAGAAACCUUCUCAGCAUAGCUCAACUGCUCGAGAAAGGUUAUUCUAUUGUGUUCAAAGAUAAACAAUGCCACAUUACUGAUCCAAGUGGAUCAAGCCUUAUGACAGUCACAAUGACUGAUAAAUGCUUUGAGGUUCACUGGGCAAAUGACUCAAACUCAGCAUACACAGCCUCUGUUGAAGACUCCAAGCUUUGGCAUCAAAGGCUUGGACAUGCUAACUUCAGAUCAAUGGCUCGAUUGGCCAAAGAGGGCUUGGCAGAGAACUUCAUCAGCUCAGUGGAGCAUGAUGAUGUGUGUGAAGUUUGCCAAAUGGGGAAACAGGCAAGAUUGCCAUUUCCUACAAAUUCAGCUUGGAGAGCUACUGAAAGACUGCAGCUGGUGCACUCUGAUGUAUGUGGCCCGAUGAGGACUGAAUCACUCAGCAAAAACAGGUAUUUCAUCCUCUUUAUUGAUGAUCUUACAAGGUUUUGCUGGAUUUUCUUUUUAAAACACAAGUCUGAGGUAGCUCAAGUGUUUGUGAAGUUUAAAAAUGCUGUAGAAACAGAAACAGGUUGCAAGCUGAAAUCGAUAAGGACUGACAAUGGCACUGAGUACACUUCAGCUCAAUUUCAAGCCAUUUGCAAUGAUGCUGGUAUCAAACAUUAGCUUACAAAUGUCUACACACCUCAGCAGAAUGGGGUAGCUGAAAGAAAGAAUAGAAGUCUGAUGGAUAUGGCCAGAUGUCUGCUGUUUGAGAAGGAACUGCCCAAAACUAUGUGGGCUGAGGCAGUAAACACUGCUGUUUACCUUCAGAACAGGCUUCCUACUAAAGCUCUUGCAUCCGAGACACCUUUCGAGGCUUGGUUCAGUUUCAAACCUUCCUUGGCACAUCUGAAGGUGUUUGGUUGCCUGUGUUAUGCACAAAUACCAGCAGCAAAGAGAGACAAGCUCUCCAAAAGGGCUCAACCAGGUGUUCUAGUAGGCUACAGCUCAGUCAAGAAGGGCUACAGGGUUCUGGAUCCCUUGACAAACAAAGUCCAGGUGAGCAGAGAUGUCAUCUUUGAUGAAAAAGCCUGCUGGAAUUGGGAGAAAAAUGAGCCAGAAGCAGUUUCAGAAGACCUAGUGCCUAAUCAAGCUGAACCUGAGCAGCUAGGACCUGAAAUGGAUGUUGAUGAUGUGCCUGUGAGAGGCACAAGGCCCCUAGAUGAUGUUUAUGAAAGGGCACAGGUUGCAAUAGCAGAACCUAGCAGUUUUGAAGAGGCUGAGGCAGAUGAAGGCAGGAAACUAGCUAUGGUCAAUGAAAUCAACAUGAUUGAAAAGAACCAGACAUGGGAGCUAGUUGAUAAACCUGUUGGAAAGAAGACCAUUGGAGUAAAAUGGGUCUAUCGAGUAAAACAGAAUGCAGAUGGCAGUCUGAACAAGCUAAAAGCCAGGCUUGUUGUCAAAGGAUUUAGCCAAAGGUAUGGUCUGGACUACCUGGAGACAUUUGCACCAGUAGCCAGGCUUGACACAGUCAGAAUGAUAGUUGCUUUGGCUGCUCAACAUCAGUGGAUCAUUCAUCAGCUUGAUGUUAAGUCUGCAUUUCUCAAUGGUUUCCUGGAAGAAGAGAUCUACAUCGAGCAGCCUCAAGGAUUUGUGAUCACUGGCAAAGAACACAUGGUGUACAGACUGAAAAAGGCUUUAUAUGGCCUGAAACAGGCUCCUCGAGCCUGGUAUGCUCGAAUUGACUCUUACUUACUCAGUUUGGAAUUUGAGAGAAGUCCCAGUGAACCAACACUGUAUGUGAAGAAGAACCAAGCUGAAACUCAGCUUAUUCUGUCACUCUAUGUUGAUGAUCUAUUGGUAACUGGAGGAGAUAGAAGAAUGCUGGAAAAUUUCAAAAGAAAAAUGAUGGAAAUGUUUGAAAUGUCUGAUUUAGGCAGAAUGAACUACUUCCUUGGAAUGGAAGUGAACCAAACAGAAAAGGGAAUCUUUCUUAGUCAGAGUUCUUUUACUAUGAAGAUCCUGGACAAGUUCUCUAUGAAGAACUGCAAGCCAACAAGCACACCAAUGGCUGUUGGAGUGAAGCUUUCGAGACAAGGGAGUGGUGAACCAAUUUGCGAGGCCAUGUACAAGAUUCUCAUUGGUAGUCUGUUGUAUUUGACUGCCACAAGGCCCGAUAUCAUGUUUGCUGUUAGUGUGCUAUCAAGAUACAUGAAUUGCUGCAAUGAUCAGCACUUUCAAGCAGCUAAAAGGGUGCUAAGAUACAUCAAAGGCACCAUUAGUCAUGGUGUAUUGUUAAAAAGGGCUGAAAACAUGAAGCUGAUAGGCUAUGUUGAUAGUGACUGGGCUGGAUCAAGUGAUGACAUGAGGAGCACAUCCGGAUAUGCAUUCAGUCUUGGCUCAGGCAUGUUUUGCUGGAGUUCUAAGAAACAAAGUCUGGUGGCACAAUCAACAGCAGAAGCUGAAUAUGUUGCUGCUGCAUCAGCUGUGAACCAAGCCAUAUGGCUUAGAAAAAUCUUAGCUGAUUUAAACCAAAACCAAAAGGAGGCAACAGAGAUUUAUUGUGACAACAAAUCUGCUGUUGCAAUUGCAAAAAAUCCCAUUUUUCAUGGCAGAACCAAGCACUUCAAUAUUAAGUUGCAUGUUAUAAGGGAGAUGGAACAAGCUCAUGAAAUCGAGCUGAUUCAUUGCAAUUCAGAAGUGCAAAUUGCUGAUAUCUUCACAAAGGCACUCAAUGUGUCUAAAUUUGUUAAAUUCAAAAGGGAAUUAGGUGUUACUAGCAUGGAAACUAAGGAGGAGUGUUAAGUUUAGUUCCCAUGCAAAGGUGGCCAUGCACGACAUACAAAGGUGGUCAUGCUCCUGGAAUCGCAGCAAGCAGUGGUGCCAUGGUGUGCAGCAAUUAAAGUUUGAAGCUGCCAAUCUAUUUGCUGUUUUAGUUUCAUUUUGAUUGUUUUGUAAUCUAGUUCAUGUUGAACUAAGUAGGUAAAUGUUUUGAUAUUGAUUGACUGAAAAGUCAGCAAUGCAAGUUGUACAAGCUAAUCUUGUAAGUUUCAAUGCAAAUUAGUGGAGUUAGGUAGUUGAUUAGGUGAUUACUUGUUUGUUUUACUUAUUGACUAAUAUAUGUAAUGGCUUAAUGCCUUGUUGUAAUGUUAAUGAAAGAUAUCAGCUCUUUUUCAUUCAAUCUUCUUCUCUCUUUUCUGUUUUUUCACUUGCUAGUUUCAUCUUUCUGUUUUCUGCUUCCGAGCUUGCUUCUUCACCAAGGCUCGAGACUUACUACUCAAGCAAGACUUGAAACAGUUUGUUGCUGCCUCUUGCACCAACAGGAGUUCCGAGAAAUUGUGCGGGGUAUCAUGGAAGAGUUGGGAAAACCCAACUUUGGUGAUAAUUUCCCUAUUGCUAAUCUUGACUUGCAAGGCAUCAGGCGUCGAGUGGCAAUUCUUUUUAGAAAGAUGAUGGAUCUUUUCGAUAAAAUGCUCAAUGAGCGGAUGGAGUUGAGAAGGAUGAAUGAUUAUAUAUCAAUUGAUGAUUUCUUGGAUAUCCUUCUCCAACUCAGCCACCAAGGAAACAGCGAAAAGCUCGACAGAAAUCUUAUCAAACAUUUGAUUUUGGUUGUAACUUAAUCUCUUUUCAGUAAUUUAUUAUUUAAGUUGUAUAAGUUGUUCAACUUGGUAAGAAAUUGUGAAACAGGAUUCGGUUGUAGGCGCAAUCGAGACAACUACAAGUACUUUGGAAUGGGCAAUGGCGGAAUUACUCCAAAACCCAAAAGUUUUGCAGGAAGCCAGAGGAGAACUGAAGCAAAUAAUUGGCGAGGGGAACUUGGUGGAGGAAUCUAACAUUACUUGUUUACCUUAUUUGCAAGCAAUUGUCAAGGAAACGAUGAGGUUGCAUCCAUCGUUUCCUUUAUUACUCCCCAAAAAAGCUGAAGCAGAUAUCGAGAUUCAUAGCUUCGUCAUUCCAAAAGGUACACAACUGUUGAUCAACGCAUGGGCUAUAGGUAGAGAUCCUAAGUUCUGGGAGGUGCCUGACUUGUUUCGUCCAGAGAGGUUCAUAAGAUCAGAAAUGGAUGUUAAAGGAAGGGAUUUUGGACUGAUUCCGUUCGGAGGUGGGCGAAGAAUUUGCCCUGGAUUACCAUUGGCCAUAAGAAUGUUGCACUUAAUGUUGGGUGGACUCAUUCAUUCAUUUGAUUGGAAACUUGAAAAUAACAUCACACCAGAGAGUUUAGAUAUGAAGGAUAAGUAUGGUCUUUUUCUGCAGAAAGCUCAACCAUUAAGAAUCAUUCCGAUUUCAAAUUAACAAUAUUGUGUUGGUUAUUUUAUCUAUAACUAUUGAAGUGUAAUAAGUGAAACUUAGCUAACGACAACUUAUUGUAUCGUAAAUUUCAUGUUUUCAAACUUUCUGCCAAUCAAAUAAAAAUCAUAUAAAUCUAUCAGAAGGAACCGUGUAAUGUGCAGCUAAUAUUAACAUUUGAACUUUAACGAAGGUUCAUUUCAUCUACAACCAAAAACUACUACCGCAAUACAUCUUCAAAAUACAUGGAAUAAGUAGCUUUUUUCGUCGUUACUUGAAGCUUAGUGCUCAGCCAUUUAAUUGGAAAGAGUUUCACCUUUGUUUCUAAGAUCGUUCCGAGAAACUAUGUAGACAAGAAUCCUGGUACCAAGGUUAUCAGUGUAUCUACAAGUACAUAUAUCAAUUUCGACAAACCCUCGUACCUUACUAGUGACAGCUCUUGUAGUUUUUAAAGAAAUGCACAGUUCAUUGUAAAUGGUACAUACACCAAUAGAUUACCAUUAUAUAUAGAAGUGACAAGGAUAAGCUUGCUAAGUUUAUAAUCAAAUUAUACAACAAAUGGGAUGUUAAAUUUGUCCAAGUUCUGAAUAGGGAUGACAAUAGAGCGAGACAGGGUGGAUGCUGUUAAAUCCUUCACCACUCUACAGUUAUCAUGCUCUACUUCACUAUUUGUCUUGCUUCACUGUGGAUGUAUAAUAUUAAAUAUUAUUACCAUCUCCAUAGAUGUUAGAUGCACCCAUCCUUACCCCACCUCACCCUGCUCUUGAAGAUGCUUUAAAACCAUUUUUUGUAACUCGUGUUUGCUUCUUCAUUGAGUUCUCUGCUCAAAGUAGGGAGUAAAAGAAGAAUAGUGGAAGUAGGGUGGUGUGGAGGGAAAGAAGAUGAACAUUAGUAAUGGGGAAAAAAGUUUAUAAAAAAAGAUGAUGUGGUGUGCAUAAUCAACCGACGUUAGAGAUUUAACAUUUGGGUGACUAAAAUAAAAAUUUUCUCUAACGACAGUGACCAAAUUGCAAGUAUUUUUAUUUGGAUGAUCAAAAUGAAAGCACCUAAAGAGUUGGGUGACCAAUUAGGUAGUUUACUCAAAAAUCUAUCUAGUAAUUUUCAAGAUGGCUAAUCUAACUUGUUUAAAAAUUUAAAGUGCUAAAAAUAUUAACUUUUAAGUUUAUUAGAUUUUUUUAACACUUCAUCAAACAAGGCCUAAAUAAAAAAAAAGAAGGAAAAAGAAAAAAUUAAAAAUCAUGAUGCUACACUCCUAUGAAAGAAAAUAUAUAAAAAAAUCAAGUUAAUUGAUAUGAAGUAGGUGUCCAAAUUUUCUAUUGAUAAAAUGUAGUUUAUAAGCUAGAAAAAGUUAAGAAAAUGUGGUUAUUGGUUGAAGGGAUUAUCUUGUCUAAAAGCUUUGCUUUAAUGAUUUAGAUGAAGAAUGGACGGAUAGAUUGUUUAUUUGGCAUCAUUACAACUUUUGACAUCACAAUUAAAAAUAGGUGGAGAAAUGAUAAGGAUUUCAAAUGGAAGAGAGAAAUUGGUAUCCCUCGAAUAUGUGAAUAUUUUUCCAUUUUUAUUUUCAUGGGAAUCAAUGGGAUACAGAUUAUUCCUGGGAAGCUUAUAUAAGUAAUUCAUAAUAUAUGUAUUUGAUUCUGAUUUUUCUAUAUCUGUCAUUCUUAAUUUAAUGAAUGAUAAAAGGUUAAUAGAAUACGUUAGGUAUGAAAAUUAAUAUACUUUUCUAUCUACGAAUGUUGAUUAUAUAAUAUAAAACUAAGAUGGUACUAAAUGUCAAUUCUAAGGCAAAUAGUUUCGUUGAGCUUCAUCCUUGCAAGUAUGAAGUGUGCUUCAAAAAGAGCUUAGAUGUUGACCGACUAGAAAACGGUAAGGGUUUCAAUUUGACCGCUUUGAACCUCCCCCCAAUCUUGAGGAUUUUGCAGCUUGGUGAUUGCUUUCUCCCAUUUUUCUUGCAUGUUGGGUUAAUUUGAAGCAAGCUUGGAUGUUUGUAGGCGCUGUUGAAGUAGUUGAGUUUCCAGAAUUGAAUACAAACGCUGUUGUUGUUUAGAUUCAAUCUCUUUAAGAUAUUGCCGAUGACUUGAAUUCCAAAUUGCAGCUUUAAUGGCGGACAUUGGUUUAUUGCUUCUUUACCCUCUGCAAGCUUUCAUUGAAAACUGAAACGGUCGGCCCUUCCAUUCAAUGUUUCUAGUUCCAUCAUCAGAAAGGAUCCAUGCACUAGAAGGCCCUCCAUAGCUUCAAAUCCCCACCCUAACCCAUCUCUUUACUUUCUCCUUCCUUUCUUUCUCUCUCAAUCAAUCUAAAAGCUUUUACCAAUUGGUCCUCUUUGUGUUAUGUACUAUUCAAAUGGAGGACACAACAGGAAGAUUAAAAUCUUCUCAGCAAGUGUUAGGAAAAAAGGGUUAAUAUGUCCCUUCAACUUCGCAAAUUAAUAAUACUUAAACUUUUUUCUAAUUUAAUCUGAACUGAAUUGAUAAUUUUUUUUAAAUUUUUGGUUGACUAUGUUAAAUUUUAUACUAACACACGUCUUAAAUUUUUUUUUUUGAAAAAUAAAAAUAAAAAUAAAAAAUUAAGAAUUUUAGGAAUUUCUUUUAUUCCAACAUGGAAAAAUCACAUUAACAACUAUUUUUCUAAGUAAUUUGGACAAUAAAACUGGAGUGCCUUAAAAAAUUUUUUUUGACAAUAAUCUCACAUCAAUCAAUCGAAUAUUAAUUAAUACAUAAUCAAUCAAACACUAUUUAAAAAUGGCUCUUUUGCUCAAAAAAAAAUAUUCCAAAUGUUAAGUUCAUUCUAAAAAUGUCUUUCUAGUAAUUUUAUAUUUUUAUAAUUUUAAAAAAAGAUUAAAUAUAAAAUUGGUACUUGAACUUGUCCACUUUUCUUAUAUUGGUACUUGUAAUUUUUUUGUCUUAGAUUGAUACCCAAACUGUUUUUAUGUCCACUAGAUUAGUACCUGAGCCUAACGAUGUUAAUUUUUUGUUGAUGUGGCAGCACUAGCCAUUCACGUUUUGCCACGUGUUAUCCUCUUUGGCUGCAAGUCAAACCCCCUUUAAUUAUUUUUCCUUUCGUUUUCUUUUAAAAAUUAAUUUUUUUUCCUUUCAUUUUUCUUUCACUAUCAUAUUCUACCUCUUCGCCUUCUAGCUCACUUUUAUCUCUUUUGUUUUUUCCUUUCACUAUCUGUUUUGUUUUCUACUUGAUCUCUUCGCUUUCUAUCUAUUUGAUUUUAUCUAUUCAUAACACAUCUUUUAAAGGAAGAAAACAAGCGAAAAUGUCUUUUUCAACAAAUAGAAAAUUAAGUGCUCAAAAAAGUUUUUGUACCCAUAAUGUUCAAAACAAAGAAACCAACAAAUUCAAAGAACAAAUAACAAACAAUAAAGAAUCCAACACAUUCAAAGAACAAAUAACAAACAAACAACCCAAAAUCUUAAAGAAGAAAAAAAAAGAACCUGAUAUAUUCUCAAUUUCAAUCUCAGUAACAAAUAAAGAAUUUAAAAUUUUCAACCCAAAAUCAUUUCAACUAGAAAAAAAGUUAACAACCUAAUAUAAUAGCAAGAACCUAAAAUGAGAGCAACAACCUAAAGAAUUACAAGAAUUUAAAAUUAUUUAAAAAUAAGAAAUUUACAACCAGAAAGAUAGCAAGAACUCAAAAAAAAUAAAUGAAAUACAAGAAUUUAAAAAACCCUAAAAAACCUACGGAUCCAAUGAACAACAAAGGCAAUUCCUCUCUUGAAUUUGUUAACCCUUAACUCCAUGACCUGAAGAACUUCUACUAGUCUCUAAGAAAAUUGAUUCUCUGUUGUUGCCUUGGCAGCGGUGUUGCUACUACUCCCUUUGGCUCCUCAACUCACUUUUAGCCUCACCAAAAGCCUCCUUAGUCUUUCUUCAGCAAGCGGAGAGUAUAAUUUCAAAAGCUCAAGGAUCAAGUUUUGAUUUUUUUUAUAGCUUUAAAGAGAUUUUCUUGGAAAUACAAGGCAAGAUUUGAGAAGAUAAGGAAGAGAGAAGUGUUGUAACACCCCACACCCGUACCCUACGUCGGGAUAAAAUACGAUGCGUUACUAAACUUAAACACAUGUAUUCAAAUGUUUCCGAGUCACCAAGACUUGAUCGAAUUUAAAACUUUUUUGAACCUUGUCUAAACUCCUUAAUAUGGGCCUACGAUGCCUCAAACAUUCAUUGGAAACCAUUUGGGGACCAACCUGGGUCAUUUAACUAACCUUAGAAAAAUAACUCUUAAAACAGGGCACACGUUUGUGUGGAAGGGCAACACGCACGUGUGGUUAUUAUAACACGGCCAUACUGAUAGCCCAUGUGACACACACGACCUAAGCAUAUAGGGACAGGUCCGUGUCCCAUGCCUGUGUGAAUUAAAUUCUAAUUCGAACCUACAGGGGUUUCAUACGGCCUGACACACGCCCGUGUCUAUAGCCUGUGUCUCUCACACGGCCAUGACACGCCUGUAUCUUAGCCCCUGUCUAAAAACCUUGACAUUAUGUUUCUGACCUCAGCAUCUAAUUUAGGGCACACGGCCAAGGCACAUGCCUGUGGCCAGAAGCCGUGUCCUCCACAUGGUUGAGAUACACGGCUAUGUCUCUACCCGUGUGUUUACUAACAUACAUUCUGACUUGCAAAUUUUACGUGCAAGGGACACACGGCCGAAUAACACACCCAUAGGGUUGGCCGUAUGUCACACACGGCUUAAACACACGCUCGUGUGUCUACCCGUGGGGACAAUAUAGGGCUAUCUACCAAGCCUUUGCCACCCUGAAACACAAUCUAACAUCAACCAACAUAUCAAAGAUUAACUUAAUAUGAUUUCUCAACCAAACAGCCAUAGCUAAGACCUAUAUACAUUACAUAUAUUCAACCAUGCCAACAAUUUCACAUUCAUGAAAGACUAGCUUGCAUUCACAUAAUAACUUUCAAUAUUAGCCAUUUUCCAUGGCCUUAUACAAAAUGAAUCAAAUGCUAAGCUAAGCUAUCAUAUUUGGCCAAUUAACAAUGACACAAAACUUAAAAGUCUAAGUUCCUAUACAUGCCAUAUUCAAAAUGAUAAAUCUAAUUAUACCGAGUGCUUCAGUUGAUAGUGUGAUUAAUGCCUCCGACGUCUGUUGAUCUUCGAGCUAGUUAGGCGGCACUAUAAGAAAAUAGAAAAGAGAGGGAGUAAGCAUAAAGCUUAGUAAGUUGUAUGCAAAUAAAUAUAGCAACAACUUUCCCAUUCAUCAUCAUGCUUAUAGUACAAAAGUAGGCAUAAGCACAACUUACUCGUCACUAACCAAUACAAUUCACAUAGCAUAUAUAUUGAGCUCACGUAUCAUACAUUUCAAAUAGGAACCUGUACCACUCACAACAUGGUUAUACUUUUCUCGUUUGACUUAAACUAUAACUCUUACCGUUGAACCAUUUGGAAAGCUAUUCGAUAUUCAUUAUGCCUCAAACAUAGGGUAUAAUGCCGCUGCCAUGUCUUAUACAUGGUCUUACACUGGCUGAUCCAUCAAGUCGAUGCCAUAUCCAGACAUGGUUUUCACUGAUUAUCGAAAUCGAGGCUGACGCCAUGUCCCGGACAUGGUCUUACACUAGCUCUCACAUAUUCAUGCCGAUGCCAUGUCCCAGACAUGGUCUUACACUGACACAUCUCGUAGCUGAUGCAUGUCCCAGACAUAUCUUACACUAGUACACCAAUAACCCGAAUGUCAUGGCAUGAAUAUCCGAUUUAUUUCCUAAUGUUCAAACGGGAGUUCCACUAUCUCAAUAUUUAUCAUACAUAAUCAUUUUCACAAACAAGCAAUUUAUGCUAUAUCAAUUCAAACACAUACAAUAACAAUGUAGUUGUAUUAUUUACUACAACUUACCUCGAUAUACAAAAUGUAGACACUAGUUCGGUUUAGUCCACUUGUUUUACUUUUCCUCGGUCUAGGCUCGGAUUUUGUAUUUCUUGAUCUAAAAUAAUAAAAAUUCAUCCAUUUAGUCACUAGAUAAAUUUAUACAAUAAAAAGUUCACAUUUUUGGCAAAAUGACCAUUUUGCCCCUAGACUCGAAAAUCCAUUUUUUAUCAAAUUUCUUCAUGCCUUAAGCCUAGCUGAACCCUUUUUACUCUUAUAGAAACCCAAAAUUUCCAUUAUUUCACACAUUUGUCAUCUAUUUUUACAACUUAUGCAAAAUGGUCCUUAGUUAGGGUUUUCAUGAAAAUUACUUCACAAAAGUUGUUUAUUUUACAACCAUGAUUCAUUUCCUUCCAUAAAAUUUCAGAAAAAAAACAUGAAUAUUCUCAUGUUAAAACCCUAGACUCUCAAUCAUUUUGCAAAAUAGUCCCCCCAUUAGCUAGCUCAUGCCACAAGGGUUCCAAAAGUACUAAAAUUAUAAAAAAUAACCAUCUAAAUCACUUACUUGAGAGGGAGAUGAAUGGUUGGAAGUUUUAACCUUCAAAGCCCUUACUCUUGCUGAAAAUUUCGGUGAAGAAGGAGAUGAGAAAGGGUUGAUAUCAUCCCUUGUUUAUUUUAUUUCUUUUUAGUCAAAUAAGCCACCAAAUUUUUACCUAACAUUUGACUAUCUAAUUUCUUUGUCUAAUGGCCGAUCAAGCACUAUUCUAGGGUCUAUUUUCUCUUUAAAGAUCCCCAAUUAAUGAUACAUGGAAAUUUAAGACCCUUAGCUAUCAAAUUAAGACUUUUGCACUUUAUGCGAUUUAGUCAUUUUUCACAAUUAAGCAUGAAAUCGCUAAAAUUAACUCACCAAAAUUUUUAUACUCUCAUAUAAUCAUGCCAAAACACAUAAAAUAAUAUUAAAAAUAAUUUCUCUGCCUUCGGAUCAGUGGUCCCGAAACCACUGUUUCAAUUGGGCUUAAAAUCGAGAUGUUACAAGUGUUUUAAUGGUCGGAUCGGCUGGAGAAGGCCAUGGAUGGUGGCAACUCAUGGCAGUGACAACUAAGGUUAAAAGAAGAGGAAUAUGGAGAAGAAGAGAAGAAGACAUUGUGUGUAACAGCCUAAUUUUUAGUGGUGUCGGAACAGUGAUUUGAGAUCACUGAAUCAGACAAAUGAGUAGGAAAUAUUAUUAAUUUAGUGAGUAUAAGUUAAAUGUGAAGUUAGGAAAAAUUUUGAAGUAGUGAAUAGUGUACUAAAAAUAAAUAUUAAAAUAAUUAGAAUCGAAAACGAGGUAUUGAGACCUCGAGAAUUUUAAAUCGAGCAAUAAAUAUUUUUAUAAAUAUUUAUGGAGUGUUAAUAAGUCAGUAUUAAAGUUUCGUCAAGAAAUUUUAAAGUUCUGAUAGUUAAUUGAACAAAAAAGACUAAAUUGUAUUAAAUGCAAAAUUGUGAGAAAUGAUUAAAUAGCUUAAAUGAUAAAAGAAAGAGGGUUUAAAAGGAAAAUAGACCCAAGGUCUCUUUGCGCUGGAUGGCAAUGGCAUGAAAUCAGCAAGAAAAUAAGGAGAAUUAAGGGAAAAAUUGCAAAAUUGCAAAAUUUACUUAAUAAAGCUAGGACUAAAGUGGAAUUAUCUAGAUUGCUCUUUAUUUUUCUGCAUUCUCAUCAGAAAAAACACCAUGGAAGAGUUCCCUUGAGCUGGUUUUUUUUCAUAUUUUUACUUCAGGUAAGUUCAAUUCUUGAUUAUUUCUUAAAUUUUUUUGUGUUUUUGUGACUUUUACAACUAGGUCCACUAGUUAAAUUCAUUAGUUUUUGAUUCUAUGAAAGAAAUUGAAAGUUGCUAUGAAUAUGUGCUGGAAGUAUAUGAUGAUUUUUCAUGGAAUUAGAGCUUUAAAUUGUUUAUAUGCUGAUUUUAUUGAAACAAUUGAAUAGAAAGUGAAUGUUUGGGACCUAAUUGUAAAAGAGUUUGAAGUUAGAGUUUUAUGUAGAAAUUAUGAAUUUAAAUAGUUAUGAAAUAACUUAUAAUGUCUAGGAAAAGUAUUAAUUGAGAAAAUUAUCUUAAUUGAGGGGUUAAUUGAGCAAGGACUGAAUUGUAUGAAUUGUGAACUUUGGGGCAAAAUGGAAAUCAACAUUUUGCACUAAAACUGUUUUGGACAGCAGCAGUAGUCUAACUUUGAAAAAUCACCAAAAAUUGUAGAAAUGGAAUUAGAGGAUGAAUAAAUAUGAAAUUAAAGCUUAUUGAGUCUAGUUUCUUAUAGAAGAAAUGAUGUAAGCAAUGGAAUUGUAAAUCAUGAGAUAUGUUAAAUUUUGUGAGACAAGGUCAGAAUGAUUUCGGGUUCCCCUGUUCUGACUUUGUAAAAUCAUCAAAAAUUGGAUAAAAAUAAUUAGGGCUUAAAUUUAUAUGUUUAGAAUCUUGAAUGAGUCUAUUUUCAAGAGAACAAACGGGAACAUCAUUCGAAUCCUGUACGAGGAGAUAAUUAAUUUUUAGUGAAGAAGGGUCGGAGCUGUCAGACAGCAGAACAGGGGAGACUUCAAUGAAUAAAAUGUAUUAAUUGGCCUAACCAAAAAUUAUGAAAUUUUUAUGGUAAGAAUAUAUAUGAGUAUAGUUUCAUAUAAAAUUAGCGGAUCUUAAUUUUGAGUUCUAUAGCUCUAUAUAUAAAUAAUUUAGUGACUAUGACACGGGUGGAUAGUCUGACUAUUCACAUAAGUAAUUAGUGAAAAUUAUGGAUAAGGUUACUUACAAGUGUGUUAUUUAUACCAAGGAUGUGGAUGGAGAGGAGGAGGGGGAAAAAUAUACGAAUGACUCGUGUAUAAAUUAAAUACAUGCCCGAUUAUAAUCGAUAAGUGUUGGAUUAGAAAUGAUAUAAUGUUUUAUGUGGAAUAUUUAUUAUGAAAUUAUGAUUAUCGUUAUAAUACAAAAUUUGUACUUGUGAGUUUAUAUGGCUAAAUUUUAGUGAUUAUUUGUUAAUUUUAUGAAUUUCAUGAUGUGUUAUUUCAUAUGUAUUAAUGAUAAAAUCGUGGAUAAUGUAAAAGUAUGAAAAUUGAAUAAAUGAUCAAAUUGAGCAUUUCAGUUCAGUGACAAGAUGAAUUAAAGGAAAAGACCAUAGUUGGACCAUGGCAACAAGUGAUAAGUGAUAGCUUCGGCUACACUUAUCUGAUCAAGGAUAAGUGAAAGUGAUAAGUAAUAGCUUCGGCUACACUUAUCUGAUCAAGGAUAAGUAAAAGUGAUAAGUAAUAGCUUCGGUUACGCUUAUCUGAUCAAGGACAAAUGACAAGUGAAAAGUGGUAGCUUUGGCUACCUGAUCAGUGAAAAGUGGUAGCUUCUGCUACCUGAUAAGUGAAAAGUGGUAGCUUCUGCUACCUGAUCAGUGAAAAAUGGUAGCUCCGACUACCUAAUCAAUGAAAAAUAGUAGCUCCGGCUACCUGAUCAGUGAAUAGUGGUAGCUUCGGCUACAAGUGACAAGUGAUUUCCGUAUAAGACCAUAUCUGGGAUAUGGCAUCGGUGUGAUAUAUGCUACUGUAUAAGACCAUAUCUGGGAUAUGGCAUCAGUGAGAUAUGUGAUUUGUGUAAGACCAUAGCUGGGCUAUGGCAUCGAUAUGUGAUAUGUGAUUACGUGUAAGACCAUAGCUGGGCUAUGACAUCGAUAUAUGAAGAUGUGUAAGACCAUAGUUGAACUAUGACAUCGAGUAAACGAAGUACUCAAUUCCGUAUGACGUUCACUAAUUUGACAAAGUUUGGUAAGUGUUACAUGGAAUUAUGUGAUACAUGAAGUACGAGUUGAUAAGAUAUGAGUAUAGAACUUGGUUGAUAAAUGAAUUCAUUUGUGAUUAUAUAAUUGUUCAUCUUGAAUGUACUAUCCAUAUGUAUUGAUAAUUCAAACGUAUUAAUGAAUAAAGUUCCAACAUGGAAUAAAUUAAACACGAGACAAAUAAUUAUGAAAUUGAACUCGGAAUUCAUGAAAAUGAUGGUUAUUGAUAUAUAGAGACAUGAGACAUUGGUAUAUGAAUAUGGAAAAUAUUUGAUAAAUGUGUUUAUUCAUAAUUAUGGAAUUAUAUACCUCAUGUGUACUAUUUGCAUAAAGAUGAUAUUUCAAAUACUUUGGUUAUUUAAGCUUAAAUAUGAAACAGUAUGAAAUCAAGAUAAGUUGUUAUAAAAAUAUAUUUAGAUUACAGAGAUAUGGCUAAUGUAUGUUGUAUGAUUACAUAACGUGAAAUUGUGUAUAUAUAUGAGAAAUUUAAUGAGAAAUGAGCCCAUACACGUUUCUUGUUAUUUAUAUGAAGUGUACGACUGACAAGGGUGAUGAAGUUAUAAACAGAGAGUUACACGGGUUGAAAACACGGGCUUGUGACUCUCCAAAGUGUGAAAAUUUUCUAAGUGUUGCAAAAGUUUCAUAUGUUUACGGUUUGGUCCCGAACCACCCUGAAUGUAUGUUUUGGGCCCCAUAGGCCCAUAUAAGGGACGUUAAACAUAUGUAUGAAAGUUUUUAAUUUAGAAGAAAUUUUAUGGCUGAUUUUUACAUGAUUGAUCAUAUUAAGUUCGGUAAUGCCUCGUACCCUAUUCUAGGCUCGGAAUAUUGGUAGGGGGUGUUACAUUGUGGCCAGGGUAGGAAAAAGAAAAAGAAAAGGAAGAAAAUGAGGAAAAAUGAAAAAAAAAGGUACAAAGAGGAUGACAUGUGGCACCAUAUGAGUGGUCAGUACUACCAUGUUAGCUCAAAAGUAACAAUGUUAUGCUUAGGUACCAAUAUAGUUGACGGAAAAAAAGUUUGGGUACCAAUUUAAGAUAAAAAAAAUCAUAAGUACCAAUCUGAGAGAAGUGGAAAAAUUUGGAUACUAAUUUAUAUUUAUCCUUUUUAAAAAUUAAAAUAUAAAAUUAUGGUGUAAAAUGACAACAAGAAUUUUAGAUAAUUUUCAAUUUUUUAUAUUUUGACCUUUUCUUAAAUUUUAGGAUGUUUAUUGUUUUUUUAUUGAACAGGCAUAAUCAACCUUAACAAAUGACUAUGGACAACAACGUCUCCAAAUUCAUUCUUAAUGUUUCCUUUUUAAUAAUUUUUAUUUUUAAUAAUUUAAAAUAAUAAUAAAUUUAAAAUAAAUUCCAUAUUUUAAAAUAAGCCUUAAACUUCAAUACUUAAAUUAUUUAUAAUCAUUUUAAAUUUUCAAAUAUUCAACAAUAUAAAAAUUUAAAACGCAAAUUUUUAUAUAUUUAACCAAAUAAUUUAUAUUUGAUUUUUUUUAUUUUGAUAUUUGAUUUUUUAAUUAUCCUUGAGAACGUUUUUUUUUAAUUCUCCAAUUAACCAAAAUUUUAUUUAAUUAUAAAAAUCCAAUUUAAGGAAACUUUCGAUUGUGUUAGUAUGUUUAUUUUUCAUCCCACUUGAAUUUUUUUAUAAAAAAAUUUGGAAUUCAUUUUUUAUUUAUAUUAUUAUUUUUGAAAUUAUAAAAAUAAAAUAAAAUUCCCAUAUAUAUAUGUUUAGAAUGAACAUGGUCACACUGUUAUCUAAAUUUAAAUAAAUCUAGAAAAUAGUUUGUUUAAGUUUAUUUUACACAGGAAAUUAAAAAAUUAAAAAAUUUCUAAAAAACCUAUAGCUUAUUUUAAAGUAAUACUUUUUAUGCUAUUAUUUUUUGAAAUCAUAAAACUAUUAGAAAUACAAGUUUAGAAUUAACCUAAACAAUUAUUUGUUGUGAUUCAUUAUAUAUGCACAUGAAAUUAAAAAAAUAAAAAUCCUAAAAUUUCUAAUUUUCUUUAAAGAAAUAGAUAUAUUUUAAGACACACGUGAAUAUUCUAUUGGUUUUUAGCAUAAAAUUAUAAAAUUUAAUGCCACCAAAGUACCUAAAAAUUAGGUAUAAACUAAGAGAAAUUAGGUAUAAAUUAAGUACUCCAAGUUGAAAGGCUAAGAAAAAACUGGAAAUUAAAAUGUUUUUACUACUGCCACAAUAAAUAUAGUGCAUAGCUAAAUAGUUAGUAUAGGGAAGAGGAUGAUUCUCAUGCAAAGUAAUAUUGUAAUUUUUUUUUAUUUUUUUGAUAACCGUUUUAAAUUUAUUAAUAUUUUUAAAAAAUAUUAAAUAUAUGUAUAUAAAAAUAUUAAAUAAAUAAAUUUCCAAUAUGAAACAUGCAUCAAUUAUAUAAAAUACUAAUCAAUAAAGUUUACAAAUAAAAAAAAAUAUUUUGCAACAAAUGUCAAUAUUAUCUCAUUAAUUAAACAACAAAAUAACUAAACAUAUUAGAUGAAAGGUGCAUAAAAACUUACGCACGAAGCUAUGUUCAUGAAUCUUUAAGCUUCUCGCCUUGUAAUUGUUAUAUAAAAUUUGAUAGCCGAAAAAUUCUAUUGUUUACAUUUCGUGUAACUCAUGUAUCGUAUUUGCUUGAUUCUAUCUCUGUAAUUGUUGAUUUAGUUAAUGGUUCAAAGUAUUAAGGUGUUAGGUACUAAUUAUGAAUGUUGAUUAAAUAAUAAUAAUAAUAUAAAAUAAAAAUGCAUGGCAAAUCAGAUGUGUAAUAGUAGUAGCUACAAUAGAUCUCAAAAUUUAGGGUGGUAAAGCCUUUGUGCUGUUGGUUACUAGCAUUUUGAGCCUGUGCCAUUUGACAAUGAAAGCCUUUUAAAUUUGUGUAACAUUAUAUAAAUUGCUAUAAAAUUAUUGCUUCAUUCAAAACAAAGAAUUGGUAUUUCUUAUACACUGAAAGAGGUACUUUCUAUUGUGUAUAACAGCAAGCAAUUAAUAUGGAUUUCUUGAGUUGCUUACUGUACUUUGUUUUCUACUUGAUCUUGUUUCAAGCUUUCCAUUUUAUCACAAGAAGGAAACUGGGAAGAACCCACAAGCUUCCGCCCGGUCCACCAACAAUUCCAAUCUUCGGGAACCUCUUUCAGCUUGGUGAUGAACCCCAUAGGGCCCUUGCCAAACUUGCCAACAUUCAUGGGGACAUCAUGACUUUGAAACUUGGCCAAACAACUACGCUAGUUCUUUCGUCUGCAGCCAUGGCCAAAGAAAUCCUCCUAACGUACGAUGCCAUAUCUUGUAACCGAACCGUUCCAGGUGCCCUUCGUGCCCUUCAACACAACGAAACCGGAUUGCCUUGGAUGUCUGUUUCAACCACA
rnacentral:lncRNA from 1 species